UAAACUUGCAAAGUAAGCUAACUUGGAGACAUUUCUCCUACACAAAUCGGUCAUCUCACUUUCAUCAAGUCACUUUCACGCAUCUUUCUUUCUUCUUUCUUCUCCCGUGAGUUUACUAGAGCAAAGAACAAGGAAGUUCAAGAAGAUUUGGGCUUUUUUUUAGAAAAAACCUAUUAUACAAAAGUUGUAACUUUAGGUCUUGUGAUUCUAAAUCUUCAUCCCUUUCUUGUUGAUGAGAUUCAUAUUGAGAGAAAAUCCCUCCCAAGUGCAACGGCGUACAUGCUGUCUAAGAAGGUUUAGUGGAUGUUUUUGGAGUUUUAUUAGUGGAAAGACUACUUAGCUCAUAGAGAAGCUAUACAGGUUGUCGUACGUUGAUUUGAACCUCGAACCGUGAGUCGGUGGAUUGCCCUUGAUCUUGGACCAAGUGGGAUUAAGAGUAUAUACAAGUAAUUGGACGCAAAGAGUACAAGUAACUUGGGCUGCAAUAAAAUAGCAGGAAAAGCUAAGCAAGUAAAAGGCGAGAAAAUUAUAGAUGAUAAAAAGCCUGUUGACGCGACUCCACACAGAGAAAAGUUCCAUGUGGCAUCAUGUUGCAUAGUACAAAUGCCAGAGAAUUGGCGCUAACUAGCGCCCGAAUGACGCAGACCCGCGCCGGAUUGCAAACUUUGCAACGGAGAAUUUUGAGUGGCGCUCAGUGGCACCAAAAUGGCGCCAAAUGGCACCACAUUCAUGACCAGGAUCAUGGCGCCACCAGGCGCCCAACAAGAAGAAAGAAUAGCGCCACAAGGCGCCCAAAGCAAAGGAGAAUGGCGCCACUAGGCGCCCAAAAGGAAGGAGGAUGGCGCCAACUGGCGCCAGUGUACGUGCCAUCAGGUCCGACUUUUCACAAUUGGACAGUAACUCCGCGCGAAGUGGCGCCGUACCGGUGCUAACUGGCGUCGGGUUGCGAGGAAAUUUUACCGUGUUGUCUCAGGGGUAUUUUUGGAAGAAGAAAAAUAGAUUUAUAAAUAGGAUCCUUAUGACAGAAUUAGGUAUCCAGACCUAUUCUUAUGAAGGGAGACGACGGCAGAGCUCUGAGAGGAUUCCUUAGAUCAAGUUCUUCUUCUCUUUUCUCUUUAAUUUUAUGCUUUUGAAUAUUGGAUUAUUUUUAGCCAUGAUUAUGCUUGGCUAGUUUCUUUUAUUGUAGUUAGGGUCACGAGCCCUAUGUGAACCCUUG